rnacentral:rRNA from 1 species
UCGACGGAGAUAUUCGCUGAUGAAGUACUUCGGUAAUGAAUCUUGGAUAUCUUAGUGGCGGACGGGUGAGUAACGCGUGAGCAACCUGCCUUUCAGAGGGGGAUAACGUUUGGAAACGAACGCUAAUACCGCAUGACAUUAUCUUAUCGCAUGGUAGGAUAAUCAAAGGAGCAAUCCGCUGAAAGAUGGGCUCGCGUCCGAUUAGGUAGUUGGUGGGGUAACGGCCCACCAAGCCGACGAUCGGUAGCCGGACUGAGAGGUUGGACGGCCACAUUGGGACUGAGACACGGCCCAGACUCCUACGGGAGGCAGCAGUAAGGGAUAUUGGUCAAUGGGGGAAACCCUGAACCAGCAACGCCGCGUGAGGGAAAACGGUUUUCGGAUUGUAAACCUCUGUCCUCUGUGAAGAUGAUGACGGUAGCAGAGGAGGAAGCUCCGGCUAACUACGUGCCAGCAGCCGCGGUAAUACGUAGGGAGCGAGCGUUGUCCGGAUUUACUGGGUGUAAAGGGUGCGUAGGCGGCUUGGCAAGUCAGUAGUGAAAUCCAUGGGCUUAACCCAUGAACUGCUAUUGAAACUGUCGAGCUUGAGUGAAGUAGAGGUAGGCGGAAUUCCCGGUGUAGCGGUGAAAUGCGUAGAGAUCGGGAGGAACACCAGUGGCGAAGGCGGCCUACUGGGCUUUAACUGACGCUGAGGCACGAAAGCGUGGGUAGCAAACAGGAUUAGAUACCCUGGUAGUCCACGCUGUAAACGAUGAUUACUAGGUGUGGGUGGACUGACCCCAUCCGUGCCGGAGUUAACACAAUAAGUAAUCCACCUGGGGAGUACGGCCGCAAGGCUGAAACUCAAAGGAAUUGACGGGGGCCCGCACAAGCAGU